rnacentral:rRNA from 1 species
GACUGAGACACGGCCCAGACUCCUACGGGAGGCAGCAGUAGGGAAUCUUCCGCAAUGGACGAAAGUCUGACGGAGCAACGCCGCGUGAGUGAUGAAGGUUUUCGGAUCGUAAAGCUCUGUUGUUAGGGAAGAACAAGUGCCGUUCAAAUAGGGCGGCACCUUGACGGUACCUAACCAGAAAGCCACGGCUAACUACGUGCCAGCAGCCGCGGUAAUACGUAGGUGGCAAGCGUUGUCCGGAAUUAUUGGGCGUAAAGGGCUCGCAGGCGGUUUCUUAAGUCUGAUGUGAAAGCCCCCGGCUCAACCGGGGAGGGUCAUUGGAAACUGGGGAACUUGAGUGCAGAAGAGGAGAGUGGAAUUCCACGUGUAGCGGUGAAAUGCGUAGAGAUGUGGAGGAACACCAGUGGCGAAGGCGACUCUCUGGUCUGUAACUGACGCUGAGGAGCGAAAGCGUGGGGAGCGAACAGGAUUAGAUACCCUGGUAGUCCACGCCGUAAACGAUGAGUGCUAAGUGUUAGGGGGGUUUCCGCCCCUUAGUGCUGCAGCUAACGCAUUAAGCACUCCGCCUGGGGAGUACGGUCGCAAGACUGAAACUCAAAGGAAUUGACGGGGGCCCGCACAAGCGGUGGAGCAUGUGGUUUAAUUCGAAGCAACGCGAAGAACCUUACCAGGUCUUGACAUCCUCUGACAAUCCUAGAGAUAGGACGUCCCCUUCGGGGGCAGAGUGACAGGUGGUGCAUGGUUGUCGUCAGCUCGUGUCGUGAGAUGUUGGGUUAAGUCCCGCAACGAGCGCAACCCUUGAUCUUAGUUGCCAGCAUUCAGUUGGGCACUCUAAGGUGACUGCCGGUGACAAACCGGAGGAAGGUGGGGAUGACGUCAAAUCAUCAUGCCCCUUAUGACCUGGGCUACACACGUGCUACAAUGGA